GCCGGAAGGUGAGACGCCGCGGGAAAAGCGGUCCUGUUAGGUGGUCCAGGUAGUUUGGGGCUGAGGCCGUCUCCUCAAGAGUAACCGCGGGCCUGUGCUACGGUCACGCCACCAGCCUCCGUUUCCUUUAGCCUUCUCUCUCACCAAACGAUUUUCCUGUCCAGUUAUAAAGUGCAAGUUGUUUCCCCAAGGAAGUGCAUUUUGGAUCAACACCUGUGGGAAAUGAGCUGUACUGCAUCCCAACAAAGACCUCAGCCAACCCCACAGCUGAGAUGGAGCAAUAGAGACCAGAUGUACCUUUCCCAGCUGAAACAACUAAAAAGACAAGACAAAAUAUAUUAAAGAAUGGUUCUUGAGACACUGGACACCACACAGUGAAGAACAGUGAUCCCUGAGAGAUGAGAAACAAAUAAGAUCUUGGAAUGCUCCAGUCUUUUUGCAAAGUCGAUGAGUGGCUUCAGCACUGGGGAAGAAGCCCGAAAGGUGACCAGAUGGAACCUGCAUUCACAGUCUUCAAAGUUCCCUUUUGAAACAUAAGGAAGAGAAUGAAGGGGAGAAGGAUUUCACACUUUCGGGCUUACAAUCUGAAGGUGUCCGUUCCUACACUGGUCAGACCACUGUCCUUGGGGCAGCUGGGGUCUUUGGGACCCUCCACCGGGCUCGCCGGUCCGUCGGACUUUUGGCUGAGAUCCGUGUCAGACUCCUCCGAAUAGUCGUCUGUUGGCAUCGAGGGCUGAACCCCUGAGGUGCUGCAUGAACUUGAGAGCGCGCUCUCGCACGCCAGGCAGUGGUACGAGCCGCCGCCGCUGCCGCCGCCGCCGCCGCCGCCCGUGGGGACGUGAAGCACCAUCUCUUGCAGGUUCACCACAGACUGGCCGAAGAAGCAGAGGGACUUCAGGUGGCUCCUCGCCGCCUCCUCGUCACUGAAGCCCGCCUGGCACUUGCGGCAGACCAACUUAUGCCGUGCUCCUGGGAGCUGUGGUACAGUCAGACGGUGGUAACUGGGGCGUGCCUGGCUGCCUUGAAUGAUUAAGAGCAUAUCUCUCCUCCUACCUGGAGUCCGCUCUAAGUGAAACUGGGAUCUGGAAUGAGGUAGCCCCUCACGUUCUGUAAAACACUGCCAAAAUUAUAAAACUUGGAUUUAAUUCAACCAGAAACCAGGGCUGCUCUGGGAAGCAGCAGAACCACUUCAACCCCUGGGAACAGGGCCAUGUUUUGAAGUCUCACAGGAUCCUGGAGGUGAAAGUCCAAUUUAGGGAAGACAGCUGGAUUCAAAGACGACGGGUGAGGGCAGAGGAGGAGGAACAAGAGAGGUACACAGGAAGAACCGCAGCACUCCCUACGAAGUGGAAAAAUAACUACCAAGUAUGUGACUCUGAAUUAGAAAGGGAAACGGGCAGAAGAAAACGAAGGCAUGUUACCAUUAACAUUUUUGUCUGUCUAGAGGACUAUAACAUGUCAUAAUUCAGAACCACAGUGCCCAAUACGAGCUCCUGGUCAGUGCAUUCCAGUACAAAGGCAGUCUAAUUAGAAACCAGGGACUUCCCUGACAGUCCAGGGGUUAAGACUCCGUGUUUCCACUGCAGGGGGCACAGGUUCGAUCCCUGGCCGGAGGACUGAAAUCCCACAUGCCGCGUGGUGCAGCCCAAAAUCAACCAACCAACAAACAAAAAGCACUAACGUAACACUCUAUUUCUGACUGGAAGAGAACCCCAGGGGUAAGGCUCUACCGUAUGAGAGCGUCUUCCUGGUAGCAUCUCUCCUGCCAGAGCACGUCUCUGAAAAAGGAGGUGGGACUACGGAGGAAGGCAAAGAGUUGACUUAAAUUCUCUUGAACCAAUUUCCAGAAGGCACAAUCCAGGAUUAGCUAGACAUUCAAAUGUUUUAUAUUUUCAACAGACAUCGAGAUGGGAUCUGCAUUUCCACAAGGACUGAAUGGAAGGGUCUAUAAUGGAAACUGCUGUCUUGAAAAUACCCCAGGAUCUAGUAUGCCAGAACCCUGAAGUUCAUGCCUAUAACACACACCCUGGUGGUGUUACUGAACACUAGGCACGAGAAUGGUUUCAGGAGCCUGUUCCAACCACAAGGUCCCCAUCCUUGAACUGGCAAGUCAAAGAGUCACGUACACCAUAGCUCUAGGGAGACUCAGUGGAAGGGACCUGAGGUUUUACUGCUGUUAGAGAACUAGGAAAGGGAAGCUUCCUAUCAGGCCAACACUCGGAGGUUUUGUGUGGUAGCCAUAGAACAAGCGCUAAUUGGGCAGCUAUUUAAUACUGGGAGAGUCACCAAGAGCAGAACCCACCUGUGUUGGAUGGAGUAAAGCCGGGCAAGGAGGGGCUGUUGAGGCCGGGGAGCAACACGGGCGGAAUGCCCUGGAUGGCCGGAUAUGCUGUCGGAAGGUUGAGAGCCUGAAGAGGGGCGUUGUCAAACAUCCCUUGCUGCUGCGCUGCCAGUCCGAGGACCUCAUUGGCCUUUUUGAUCCGGUCCAACUCUUGUUGAGCCAUCAGCUGACGUACAGUGGCUGGGUCAAAGUAUUCUUUCUCCUUGUCCAACUGGCUUCCAAUGGUGUCUUUAACUUUGGAGAUAUGCUGUUGGGAAAAGAUAUGGUCACGUACAGACAGCCGAGCGCUGUACUUGAUGCCACACAAAGUGCACUCUGUUUUGGGUCCCUCGUAACUUGUUUGGUUUAUACCAAAAUGCUUGGCCAUGCUUAACUUGGACUUCUUUUCUUUUGCCCGGGCAUUCUGGAACCAGACCUGAACCACUCUCUUUGGCAGUCCAAUGUCAUUGCCCAGGACUUCACACUCUAGCAUGGUGGGUGUCCUGUAGUCAUUAAAGCAUGACUUGAGGACCUUCAGCUGCAGAUUGGUCAUCUGGGUGCGAAAACGUUUCUGCCCGGGCCUAUCCCCACUGUCUCCAGAUUUGCCUGCUGACCCACUUGCACCAGGGCUUGGGGAGCAGGGGUCUGCAAGGCUCGAGGUUUCACUGUAGUCCACCGUACCUUCAUUGUCAUAUUCCUUGCUGUAAAAGCUCGGGGCUGGGCUGACCAGACCGGAUGACAACCGAUCUUCAUACUCAGACAUUGCCAUCAUGGCCGCUUUGGUCAACCCUUCACUGGGCGCGGAAGAGGAUUUGGUUUCAGUUGCUAUUCCCGUCGCACUGUCGUUAUCCGCAUUGCCCUCGUCUCCAGUAGUGGUAUCUGUGAUCGCUGUGUUGACUGAGGAACAGUCGUCGUUGUCCAGCUUAGUUUGGUCAAAGUUUAGAUUAACUGAGGACAUGGAAGGGCUUUCAAAGUCUUCAAUCCCUUCCACCUUGAUGGAAGAAGGGCUAAGAAGAGUUCUAGGAGACAACUCCAUGGUUUUGCUCACAGGUGAGAGGGGAACACCUUGGCCAUCACUACUGCUUGGGGGUAGGUGGGAAAAGCUAGUUCCAUCAAAAAUAUCUCCUUUCAUUUGGAGUCCCCCAUCGCAGUCUAAGAGCAUCGCAGACAGAGUUAGGUUGUAGCCAGCUCUCUUGGCUUCAUGCCAAUGACGGGACCGGAUAUGAGCCUCCAGGGCAGUCUUGGCUUUGAAGAGCGCUCUGCAAAAAGGGCAUCUCCUGUGGGCCUGGGCUGGGCCCACAGCCCUGAACUGUCCUUUCCGUUCCCGGGCUCGGGUGUUCUGAAACCAGACUUGUACCACGCGUUUCUUCAAACCCACCUCAUGCGCAAUGUGAUCCAACAUCUUUCGAGUUGGAUUGGAGUCCAAGAGAUACUUUUGGUAGAGAAUUUCUAGCUGUUCUGGUGUAAUAGUUGUCCUCAAGCGCUUGUCUCUCUGAGGUUCUUCUCCUCCCGUCCCACUGUCAUUCUCUCCAGGGCUGGCACUGGCCUUUUCCUCCAGCUUCCUCUUCAGAGUGUUCAUCGUGGAGGUGGGAGUUGAAGGGGAAGUGGCCGAGCUUGCCGGAAUCUGAGGACUCGGAGCUGGUCAUCUGUGAUCCUGGUGCGAGGCCUCUUAUUCUGCUGCUGGAGCAGACUUGGAUUGAGCUGAUGCUGGUAGAGCUGGGCCAGGUCCGCAGGCAGAGGCUCCACAGGACCAAGCUGAGGGGGCAGCUGGGCCGGCAAGCUCUGCAGCGGCAUCGUCUGCAUCAUCAGUGGUGAGAAGAUGGGCAGCUCCAUGGGCACGGAGAGCUGGGUGAGCGGCACGGAUGGCUGGGCUGGCGCAAUCGUGGGCGAGGUGAUGGGUGGCGCUGACACGGGGAUGGCUGGUGUGGAGGCCGGCUGGGGCGGCGCUGCCGGAAGCGGGGGUGGCGGCGGGGGCGGCGGCGGCGGCUCGGGGGUCUGAGGCCUCAAGGGGUACAGCUUGUCGUAGUGCUCUCGGUACUGUCUGGCAAACCUCUCCAGCUGUUUAAAGGGAAAGUAAUUCUGGUGAACAUGCUCUUGAUGACUCUUUAAAAUCAAGAUGUUCGAGAACAACUUGCCACAGGAGUCGCACUCGAGCUUUUCCGGAUUCUCCCCCUGCUCGGUUUUCCCGUUCUUCUUCUGUACCUUCUGCUUGUUCUCGUUGUACUGAAUGACCAGCUCAAAGCCAAAGUUCUCCAGCAAGGCCUUGGUGGCGUUCCCUCUGGCGUCCGAGGCGAUGCGUGGAGGGAGCAUGGAAGGCUCACAACUACCCCCUGGGGCCAAUUCUUUCUUCUCUUUGGCCUUCAAGGCAUCUGGCAGUGAUUCCUUUGGUCCCGAGUUGCCCUCUCCCCCCUCGGCACCGUCCCUCUCUCUCUGGCUUUCUUUUUCCUUUUCUUUGAUGACCAAUUUGUUUUUCUUCUCGAUGUGCUGGCUGGGCUGUAGGAGGGCAGAGUGACUCUGGGGCAGAGAGAGCUGGCUCUGCUGCUGCUGCUGCUGCAGGACCUGCUGAUGGCCCUGCUGCGGGACCUGCACCUGCGCCUUCAGCUCUUCCAGCAAGCCUGGGCCCGCCCCCGUCAGCGCCAGCGCCCCGCCCGUCACCGGCAGGCUCACCUCGGGGCUGAGCUGGAACUCGGCGCUGGGGAUGUAGAAGGGGAAGAGGAGAUGCUGCUGCUGCUGCAGCUGCAGCAGGGUCUCCGUGGCCAUGGGGAAGUGAGGAAGGAGGGUGGGGCUAAACAGCUGGGACUGGAUCAGGGCCGCCUGCUGCUGCAGCUCCUGCUGCAGGUGAGCUUGAACUUGGGCCUGGGCCUGGGCCAGGGUCUGUGCUUGCUGCUGCUGCUGCUGCCUGGAUGUGAUCAUAUCUGCCAGCUUCUUCCGAUUGGCUUCCUUGGGCUCUGAAGGGGAAGCGGUGUUGGCACCGCUGGGAUUCCCCAGGGGUGGCAUUCCUCCGCUUUCAGUGGGCACUUGGCUCAGUAAGCUGGCGCUUGGAGCAAUGCCAGCACUGCUUGGGUUGGUGGUGGUAAAGGUGUUACUGGUGCUCACAGGACUUGGGGUGGAGGAGCUCAGGGAGACGCUGCUGCUGUUCGCGGUGCCAUUGCUGCUGCCACUUGCAGCCUCCAGCUUGGCUGCCCGGGCCUUGGUUUGAUGCAACACAGACCUCAUAUGGAUCUCCAGCGUGGAGCUCUGGCUAUAGGCCACGUUACAAGUGUUACACUUGAAAGGUUUGUUGUCAGGGCUGCUGGUGGGUUCUGGCUGACCAGCUGCCGAUUCCUGAAGGGCUCUCUUCAACUUAUGCAGGUGGGAGACAGAAUUGUAGUGCACUAGCAGGAUGUUCUUCUGAGUGAAAGAUUCCUUGCAGACGGUACACUUGUAAGGGCGAGAAGGGUCUAGAAAUUUUUCCAUGGUGAAGUUGGGGCCUUUUCUGAAAGGUAGAGCUCUCUUUGGCUCUGAGCCUGAGUCUUCUUGUACCGACCCGGAGUCACUGCCCGUCGGGCUCUGUUUAUCCUCCAAGUCACUCUCUUCUUCCUUGUCUUCCUCAACGAUUAUAGUAUGGUCCUCGGCCAGGGUGGGGUCUCCCAUUGCCAGGAGGUCUCCAUUGGCCAGAAGGCCACCAUAAAGCUGUUGGAUGUCGGCCUCACUCAACUCCAGGUGGCUCGUCUCGAGGUGUUUUUUCAGAGCCUGGAAAGUUCGGAAACUGCGCUGACAGAGACAGCACAUGGUGGCAGCUCUGAUCACGUGGUACUGAGAGUGGAGCUGCAGCUUUUCCACGGUCUUAAAAGCCAGGCUGCACUGGUUGCAGCGGUACUUGUACACGUGGCGAUCCGACACGGGCAGCUGAGGCCUCUUGGCGUGGACCUCAUUGAAGUGCGCCUGGAGAGUGGCGGAAGUUUUGAAAACCUGGUUGCACCCCUUCUUCCAGCACAGGAAGCCUGAAUCUUCUCUCACAGAGCCUGGGUCAGCAGGAGAGGGUUUCACAUCGCCACUGUGUUCUGUGCCGGCAGAGGGCACGAUGUUCUUUCCCAGAUCAUCUGAGGUUUCUGGAAAAAAAAAAAAGCCCAAUGAUAAAGAAGGCUUAGAGCUGUCUACCCAGCAAGGCCUCAUGAACACAGAGUCUCAUGAUGAGGGAAAUACCCAACCAACCUGCAGACACACACUCUCCACAGAGCCCCACACCGCUGAGAGCACGUGUUAUAUAAGCAGGUGCACAGGAAUAGAGAGGAAGAAAAGGAAAUACAAAAAGCCUCAAAUCUAGUAGGCCUAUACCAUAGCACAAAUCUGUCUUUUAAACAAUAUUCAUUUCAACUUCUCGAGAACUGGCUUGAAGGGAUACCCCCUUUACAUGGAUCUGAAUUAUAGAAUAUGUGAAUUAAUGCUGUCCUAAGCUGUGGGGAAUUUGCAAGAACCGCUAUCCACUGUAGUAUAAGAAAUUUGGGGACAUGUAUAUAUUUUUAGGCAUUAAAUAAUUUCUUGUUAUUACGUGA